rnacentral:rRNA from 1 species
AACGCGAAGAACCUUACCCAGGCUCGAAAUGUAGAGGACGCUAACAGAAAUGUUAGUUCCCGAAAGGGUCUUUAUAUAGGUGCUGCAUGGCUGUCGUCAGCUCGUGCCGUGAGGUGUUUGGUUAAGUCCAGCAACGAGCGCAACCCUUAUUGUCAGUUGCCAACGCGUCAAGGCGGGGACUCUGGCAAGACUGCCUAGGUUAACUAGGAGGAAGGUGAGGAUGACGUCAAGUCCGCAUGGCCUUUAUGUCUGGGGCUACACACGUGCUACAAUGGUCGGAACAGAAGGCAGCGAAGCCGCAAGGCGGAGCAAAUCCAUAAAUCCGAUCUCAGUUCAGAUUGCAGUCUGCAACUCGGCUGCAUGAAGUUGGAAUUGCUAGUAAUGGCGUGUCAGCAACAGCGCCGUGAAUACGUUCCCGGGCCUUGUACACACCGAGACGUA